CUGAGGCGGCUUCUCCUGCUAAGCGAAAGCACGCGAGCAGGGGUGGAGGGCUCGGUCAGGCAAGGUGUGGCGGCUGCCAUACCUUGGCCGCCGGCCGGGGACCUAGACCCCCCACCCCCGGCGGUGAGACGAUGUAGUUGCAGCCUUGCAGGGCGAUGCGAUCUGGAGGUCGCCAGCAGGAGGUCGCGGUUCGGCGUAGGGGCAGGCAGGAGUGCACGGAUGGGCUGGCCCAAAAUGGCCCAAAAAAACCCUAGGCGAAAAAUAUUGAGGACGCAAGCAACGCAGUUGCACUUCGCAUCUUCGCUGGUUUCCCCAGUCGCUCGAGUCCGAGACAAAGCAAGCAAGCAGUCACCACGCCACCGUCGUCUCGUCGUCGCGCCUUGCCGGAGGCGACCGAUCCGGCCGGAGCGGAGGCGGUCCAGGCAGGUCUCUCCCCUGAUCCCCUCCCCUUCUCUCCCCACUCCUCAUACCUCAUUUUCCCAACCCGGCGGGCGGCGGCAUGCCGGCAACAACCCCAUCCCCAUCCCCAGGUUCCAGGCAGGCAGCGGCCAGGCUCCCGCCUCCCAGUCCUAGCGGCGGCCGGCGCCCGGAGGCAACGGAGGGGGCGGCGAGCCGGCAAAUCUGUGAGAUUCUGUGAUUGAAUAUUAGUUCAAUAAUUAGAAGAAUAAAAGAUGGAUAGGAAAGGAAAAGGAAAGAUUUGCGGCACAAAGAGGGCAAUAGCAAAUUAUUUAUAUCUAUAUCAUCUAUGUAUUAUGCUCCCCUCCUCUAGCGCCGAAUCUACAUUUUAUUAAGCACAUUUUAUUAAGGUACAAUUCAAUUUUAAUGUUCGCUUUUGUGUUUUAAAUUUAAAUGUUAGACUUGUUGUAAUUGUAGCCUUAUAUUAUUAUGUAAAUAAGAAUUUUUUAGUGUGCACUUAGCAUUACACUUAGUUGUCUACCAUACCUCAUUUUUCUUUCGUCCUCCGCCACUGCACGCGAGCGUGCGGCGGCAGGAACAUGGUGCGUGGACAUUGUCAAACCCUGAAUCUCGCCAGUUUCUCCGACACGUGGAGGCAGAGGCGUGAGCACUGGAAAACAGUUUUUAGC